GCCGGACUCCCUCAGCGCUUCUCCAAAAGUUCCAGUCCAGCGGGUGGACCACCGUGCAGCGCAGCUGCACACAACAGAGAAGGCAAAAGAAAACUCCCCGGGGGCUCCGUUGGCUUCUGUGGGAGUGACAAAGAUGCUUUCCCUCUAGAAGCCCGGAAGCUUUCUCCUUUGCAAUCCAAUGAGGGUGAAGUGAACGCCGCUCUUCCUUGUGAAGCGCCCUGCCAGGAAGAGCCAGUUGUGUGUAGACCCGCGGUACCUGGCCGUCCCCUUCCAGGCUGGAUUCCGCAGAGGUGAGUUUUUAUACUCUCUUUAGCGCAUUCCCCACUUCCUGUGUCUGACGAACCUGGGCAGUACUACAUCUCGUGAUACCACUGACUGAAAGUGCCCCGGGCAGGCGCAUUCCACACCCAGCUCCUCACCAGCAAGCGCUAAUCUAGGUGACGUUUUAAAUACCUUACAGUUCUUUAGCUUACAGUCCCUUAAUCAAGGAGUUGGCACACUUUUCUUGUAAAGAGCCAGAUAGCAAAUAUUUUAGGAUUUGCAGGCCAGGAACGAUCUCUCGCAUAUAUGUCUCUGUUUCAACAACCUCUUAAAAAUGUAAAAAAAAAAAAAAAAAAUCUUAGCUGCCGGUCUUAAAAACAUGCACAUUAUAAUGAUUAGAUUGAUCGUUCACUUUACCCAGCACGACGCUAGAGCUGCUUUCUGGUCUGCACCCUGUCCCAGGUCCUACCACAGUUGUGCAGUAAGGACUUGGGUUCCACGAGGGCUAGAACCCACCACGUUUACUGGACAUCACCUGUCCAGAUUAGUUUUCAAAGUUUUGGGGUCCCUACACUUGCACCUCUGCUCCUCCUCCCUGCUAGAUGGCCCCUGGUGAGUUCCUGGCAGUCGGCAAAGCCACCAAGGAACCCCCAGACCAGCAGCCAAACCCUCCUUUAUUCUAAAAUGGCAAUUGCUUCCUAUCUGGAAGCAGAAGCCAAAGUUCCUACAUUGUUAAUAAAUUAGAAUAAAGGUAAUACGGGAGUUUGUCAGGCAACUGUAUUUUUAUAGCAUUUUUUCUAGUGAUAAAUGUAAUAUAUGUUCACUAUGAUAAUUGGGAAAAUACUGAAAAAUAUAUAGAAGAAAAUAAAAAUUCUCCAUAACCCAAUAUACAAAAAAAAAGAGAGAGAGAAGAAGAAAAAACCCUACUAAAUAUUUAUGUAUUCUUUUCGUCCUUUUUUUCAAUAUAUACUAAAAGGACAACGUAAUGAACAACUGGGAUUUUGAAAAUAUUUCCUAAGAAACUUCUGUUAAAGUCCGAAAUACAGAAAAGUGUACAAACUAUAAAUGUACAGUUCAGUAAAUUUUCAAAGACUAAUGCAAAUAUACCCUUGCAACCACCAUCCAAAUCAAGAAAUAGACCAUUCCUAGCACCUUCAUCCCCCUGCCCAGUCAGGGGCAGCUUCUCCCCAGACAGAACUACUGCCUUAUCCUCAAAUACAUAGAUUAGUUUUGUCUGUUCCUGAAUUUCAAUGAAAUGAAUUAACCAUUAAGUUUUCUAUAAUAUUUGGUUCUUUCACUUUAUAUUAUAAUUAAGAUUCCACCAUGUUGUUGCUUGUAACACAUCUCUUUUUUAUUAUUUUAUGCUGUUGGGAAUUCCAUUAUACAAAUAUAACACAUUUUAUGCAUUAUACUAUUAUUUUUUAAGUGACAGAUUUAUUGAGAUAUAAUUCUUAUACGAUUCAUCCAUUUAAAGUAUACAAUAGGUUUUUUAGUACAGUCACAGAUAGAUACAAUCAUCAUCACAAUUUUGGAACAUUUUGAUCACCUCAAAACAACGCCAUACUCUUUAGCUGUCACCCUUGUAACCAUGUUCCUGUCCUCUCCAGCCCUACCUAACCACAACUCUACUUUAUGUCUUUAUAGGUUUGCCUUUUGUGGACAUUUCCUAAAAAUGGAAUCAUGUAAUAUGGAGUCUUUUGUGACUGGUCCCUUAUACUGAUACUGGAUAUUCAUGUUAUUUCCAGGUUUGGGGCUGUUACAGAUAAUAUUACUGGGAACAUUAUUAUACGUAUCUGUAUGUUGUUUGUAUCUAUAGAUAGAUUUGUAUCACAUAGAUACAUAUUUCUAUGAGAUAUAUACCAAAGAGUGGAAUAGCCCAGAGAUAGGUUAUGCUUAUGGUUAGUUAUAGUUGAUAGUACCAAACUGUUUUUUAAAUUUAUACCCCCACCAGCGCUGUAUAAUGAGUUUUUAUUGCUCCACACCCUCAGCAACAUUUGGUGGUUGUGUGAUUUCAAUUUAUACUUCUCUGAUGACUAAUGAAAAAGAACAUCUUUUCAUGUGAUUAUUAGUCAUUUGAAUAUCCUCUUUUAGUAAACCACCUAUUGAGUCUUUUUUUCUGUUGUUUUUUUUGUCUUUUUCUGCUUGACUUAUUUAUUCUAAUGUGAGUCCAUUUUCAUUUAUAAGCACUGCUAAAAAAAA
rnacentral:lncRNA from 1 species